UGCACAGCCACAUGUUCUCAAGACCCAGAGAUGGUUGAUACACUAUCCUAACAUAUUUUUGCUAGAAUUAGUAGACUACCACAAAGUUGCAGAACAUGUGUUAUGUUAGGUUUGUUUG